AACGCGAAGAACCUUACCUACCCUUGACAUGUACGGAACCUCUGAGAGAUUAGAGGGUGCUCGAAAGAGAGCCGUAACACAGGUGCUGCAUGGCUGUCGUCAGCUCGUGUCGUGAGAUGUUGGGUUAAGUCCCGCAACGAGCGCAACCCUUGUCAUUAGUUGCUACGAAAGGGCACUCUAAUGAGACUGCCGGUGACAAACCGGAGGAAGGUGGGGAUGACGUCAAGUCCUCAUGGCCCUUAUGGGUAGGGCUUCACACGUCAUACAAUGGUACAUACAGAGGGCCGCCAACCCGCGAGGGGGAGCUAAUCCCAGAAAGUGUAUCGUAGUCCGGAUUGUAGUCUGCAACUCGACUACAUGAAGUUGGAAUCGCUAGUAAUCGCGGAUCAGCAUGUCGCGGUGAAUACGUUCCCGGGCCUUGUACACACCGCGCAUA
rnacentral:rRNA from 1 species